rnacentral:pre_miRNA from 1 species
GUAGUACUCCCUCCAUCACAAAAUUCUUGUCUUACAUUUGUCUAGAUACGGAUGCAUCUAAUACUAAAACAUGACUUGAUACAUCCAUAUUUAGACAAAUUUAAGACAAGAAUUUUGGGAUGGAGGGAGUAGUAC